AGUAUGAUCUUUAAAUUAUUCCUGCAACUUUGUAAAAACUUGAUGCUGCAACUUCUAUUCAUAAAGAAUGAGGAGGAGGAAUACACCCAAGCUUUAAAAGCAAUGCAAAAUAUUGUACGUGAGUUUUUUUAAGCAGAACCCCGAGAGGUCAGGAACUACAUCCAAGAAGACAAGACUUACCUGGGACUUGGUAACUUAAUAGUGAAAAACAAUCUGAGCAGUAAACUUGGAAAUUGAACUUCAUAUGAUCCAUGAAAAUAAAGCAUCUCAAGGUUCUUCACAUACAUCCAGGAAAACCCGAGUGGUAACACUGCACUCAGAACUUUCAGUGGUUUAGACCAAGAAGUCAUGAUUCUAAGAGCAAAGUUUAAAAUAAUCUCUUUUGGGAAUUAGGUUCUAUUCAGAAUAUGUCCUGCAUGCUCC